ACAGCUGACCCAAGUCUGCCCCUGGGUGUAUGUGUGCACACACAUGUAUUGCACACAUCUGUCACAUGUUCAUAUGCACACACACACAUAUGCACACUCCUUUUCCUGACCUUCAGAAUAGAGGUGCAGAGUCAGAGGAGCUUCUGGGAAAGUGUGUGUGCACACAGCUGACAGAACCCCGCAGCCAUCCCCACGCCCCCGGCCAGCUCAGGCGUGAAGGGCUGGGUGGAGCUGCUCACCUGGCUGAUGUCGCUGGUCCACGCCGCCUUCUCCUGUCUGGACGAGGCCACAAGGAUCACCGUGAAAGGGUCCUCCAACAAGGUGCAAUCAAUGAGUGAGAUGACUCCAUUCUGGAAAAAGCAGGGGGCAGGCAUGCCAUUUAGGGAGCCCCAGAGCAUCGGCACGGGGCAGGAUUUAAAGGGAGCAGCACGUAUACAGGCACGUAUGUGUAUGUUAUAUUCCAGGUGUGCAUAUGGCUUUUAAGUUGAAGGACUUAAUCUUCCUGUAAGAAGCCCAAUGAAGUGGAUCAAAUGGGAUUGUCUCAGAGAAGCCUCCCCCCAGUGAGGGUCAAGCUUGGGCCGGGGGUGGAGGGCCGGGAGUCUGGCCUGCCUGGCCCCUUCAAGCCCCUGCAAGAGCUCCGAGGCAUCGCCUCGCAGCCACGAACCUGCAGAAGUUUGCCAUCGCCUAUUCUAGCCCAAAGCCCUCAGGGCGCCAGUGGGAAAAGGACCAAUCUCACAGACAUGCCCCAGUAUUGCUGUCCUGGCCGCACAGAUGAAGAAAUGAAAUCUGAGAGUUAUGUGUCUCACCCAUGGUCACUGGACAGGUGGGGACCUGAGCCCAGCCCAUGGCCAGUUACUGGCUUUCAUUACUAGGAAUAUCUGGCAAAAUGCCUCCUCCUGGGGUGUGAAAGGGUGUGAGAUCCCCUGAUGCUGUGAUGACAAGAGUGGCCCCAGCUGGAGUGGUCGUGAGACACGCCCACGGAUUCUUGAUGCCCCUCCCUUCAAACGGUGAAGCCUACUCCCCUGCCUCCUGCGUGUGGGCUGACUGAGGGGCUCACUUCCCACUGAGAGUAAGGCAGAAGGAAUGGGGUGCACCCCUGGGGACAGUGGCCCCUGCCUCUCUAGUCUCUCAGAUCACUUGCUCUGGGGGAAGCCAACUGCCCCAUUAGGACGGGGCUGGGUAGGUACUGAUGCCUCCAGCCAACAGCUGGGUGAGGGGCCACACUGGAGGAGGGUCCUGUGGUCCUAGUCACUGCAGAUGAGCAGCCCAGCAGCCACACUGACUGUGCCUCCUGAGACCCCAUGUCCAGCAAGCAGUGAAGCCACCCCAACUUUCUGACCCACAGAGACAAUGAGACAUCGAGUGCUUGUUUUAAGUGGCCACUCACUACCCAGCAACAGGUAAGAAAUACAGUGACAGACGGUGACAGAGGCCUCGCCCGGCAGCCAGUCUGUCUAUGAAAGUGUCUGCAGCCCAGGAUGCCAGCUGGGAGGCAAGCAGGGCUGGGGAGGGCAUCAGGGGCCCCCCGUCCUGGGCUCUGCCCUGUGCUCGGCUCUUGGGUGGCCUUGCCGGGCCUUGACCUGCUGGGGACGUCACUGCGCUCGACAAUCGUGAGGCUCCGCCAGCUCUAACAUUUCCCUCCUGUACGCCACAGGCACUCCUGGGGCAGCUUUCAAUCUUGUGCGUGUGCAGCAUUCUGCUUUCGGAAGGGACUCAGGUGUCCCGUUUCCAGGCGGACCUCAAGAGAAGCAGUUGGGUUCGGCUUAUGGUUUAAGAGCGGAGACCCUGGGGCCAGUACUGUGUUCAGAUACUCGCUUUACCACCUGCUUCGAGAAGAGCCAAUUUCCUUAAUGGAUGAAACGGGUUGUUCCAGGAGUUAGACAUGAAGCGUUUGGAGCAGCAAUCUUGUGCGAGGGCCGCUACUAUUACCAGUACAGGGCUGUUACUGUACGACCAGGAGCAGCAUUGACUGGGUCCCCCCGAGCACCCCCGGGGACCAGGCAGGAGCCAUGCACUCAGCGUCCGCUGGCUCACCUCACCCCCACCGCACUGCCCAAACGGCACCACUGUUUGCAGGUAACUGGCCGGCGGCUCAGCCAGGGGGCAGUGCCAGGAUUCGAGCUGCGCCCCAAUGCUGUGCCCUCCCCAGUACCCACAGAGACGUUAAAAAUGCAAACAAGCAGCUCCCCGAACCGAAGUGAAAGACUAAACAUAAAGGUGCCCUUCAGACCAGGAAACUGCCCUCUGGUCUCCUCCCUGACCUGUGGGGGCAGGGAUGGUUGCAGAGGCCGCUCCACAGCUAAUAAAUAAUGAAAGC